GCCCUUAUAGCUCAGUGGUAGAGCGCAGCACUCGUACUAUAUAUAGCACAGUAUUACUAUACUACUAUAUUGUCAGUCACAAGUUUAUGCUGAGGUCCAUCGUUCAAUCCGGUGUGGGGGCA